GAUGAACGCUGGCGGCGUGCCUAAUACAUGCAAGUCGAGCGAACAGACGAGGAGCUUGCGCCUCUGACGUUAGGGGAGGACGGGUGAGUAACGCGUGUAUAACCUACCUAUAAUACUGGUAUAACUUCGGGAAACGGGAGCUAAUACGGUAGAAUAUAUUGAACCGCAGUGUGCAAUGGUGAAAUACGGUUUUGCGGGCACGUAUAGAGGGAUCCGCGCCGCAUUGGCUGGUUGGUAAGGUAACGGCUUACCAAGGCGACGAGGCGUAGGCGAAGUGAGAGGGGGAUCGCCGACACGGGAAGUGAGACACGGUCAAGACUACUAAGGGAGGCAGCAGUAGGGAAUCUGCCGCAAUGGGCGAAAGCCUGACAGAGCAACGCCGCGUGAGUGAUGAAGGUCUUCGGAUCGUAAAACUCUGUUAUUAGUGAAGAACAAAUGUGUAAGUAACUAUGCACGUCUUGACGGUAACUAAUAAGAAAGCACCGGCUAACUACGUG
rnacentral:rRNA from 1 species